UCCUCCGUGGCGCAAUUGGCUAGCGCGUUCGACUGUUAAUCGAGAGGUUGGUGGUUCGAGCCCACCCGGGGGAG